UAAUACGGAGUGUGCGAGCGUUACUCGGAAUCACUGGGCAUAAAGAGCACGUAGGCUGGGUUGCAUGUCCGUGGUGAAAUCCCCCAGCUCAACUGGGGAACUGCUUCGGAAACUGCUUCUCUUGAGGACGAGAGGGGAGAGUGGAACUUCUGGUGGAGCGGUGAAAUGCGUAGAUAUCAGAAGGAACACCGGUGGCGAAAGCGACUCUCUGGCUCGUUUCUGACGCUGAGGUGCGAAAGCUUGGGUAGCAAACAGGAUUAGAUACCCUGGUAGUCCAAGCCGUAAACGAUGGACACUUGGCAGGGGGGAUUCCUAUGUCCUCCCUGCUGGAGCUAAUGCGUUAAGUGUCCCGCCUGGGGAGUACAGUCGCAAGGCCG
rnacentral:rRNA from 1 species